GUAAAAGUUAAAAAGUCUAUUCAAACUCUGAAAAUAAUUAUGUUAGCUGAGCAUUGAGAAAACAUAGAUUUAGGAUCUUACCAAAGUGAGUGUGAGUCACAAUGAGGAAGUGAAACAUUACUCAGAAAGUACAUUCUUCAUUUCUCUUUAACACACAUCAGUUCAGAGACUGACAGUCAAUGGCUGAGAUGGCGGAUCUCAGAAGGAUUAAAAUGUAUUUAUUUCUGAUACUGCUGCUUCAGUUUACAGCUGUGAUUGGACAAAAUUCCUCCAGCCUUGUUGUCAGCGAUGGGGAUGAAGUAACUUUGCCUUGUGAAAAUGUAAUAGAUGAUCAAAACAAAUGUGACGGGACUUACUGGAUCUUCAGUGGACCAGGAAGCACAUUAUCAUCAUUGCUGUUGAACCUCGGGCAGAUUGGUGACAACUACAAGGCUAAAUCUGACAGACUGAGUGUUACAGAGAAAUGUUCUCUGGUCAUAAAGAAGGUCACAGUUCAUGAUGUUGGUCGUUACACCUGCAGACAGAUCACACCAGGACAACAAGAUGCUCACGUUUCUCUCUCUCUUAUUACCAUGACUGAACAUCACAACAAUGAUCAGGUGACAUUAAACUGCUCUGUGUCGUCAUCUGACUGGUGUAGACACACAGUGGAGUGGCUGUAUGAGGGUAAAGAUAUGGAUGAAAACGUGGAGACAUCCCAGUCUGAGUGUUCAGUUACUGUGACAUUACCUCGUAGAAAGAAGAAGAGACAGAAGUCAAAGUAUCAUGAGUUGAAGUGUGAAGUGACAGAUUUUAACAGUGGAAAUGUGCAGCUGUUUCCCUUCCUGCAGUCCUCAGCAACUUUGCCUGCCAUCAGUGAUACUUCAACACCACAUGGUAUCAACUCACAUGGUAACCCUGUCAGGCCGACACUUGGCUGGAAAUAUUUAAGUUGGGGGAGGGUCAUCGUUGUGUCUGUGGUUUUAGCAACGCUCAUAAUGAUUGUUGUGGCAGUCAACAUCUGGGCGAGAACUAAAAAAAACAAAACACAGAUGGAUGACAACGCUGUGCAUUAUGAUGGAGAUGAAGAUGAAGAUACAGUCGUAUAUGAAGACAUUGGAGACCCUUCUGUCAGACUCCACUGAAGUCCACUGCAUCUCAACAUCAUUUGUGAUUUGAUAAGUUUGAAUGGCUGACGUAAAGCAUCCUUCAAAAUGUCCUUUAAACUGUUUCUUAUCAUUUAUCAUAUAUUUCUAUGUUGCAUCUUUGCUUCAGUUUAAUCAUCAUUAGUACAGAACAACAAAUCGUUAGGUUUGAUUUUAACAUGUUUUCUGGGAGACAAGUAUAUUUUCUAUCUUGUAGAAUAAACCUGAAUGAGCUGUGAGUUUCUGAUUUGGUCAUUAACUGUGUUCUCUUUAUUGUAACUUAUAAUAUAACACAAAUUACAUUUUAAAAACUGUAUUAAGUUUCUGGCACUGAAAUACGUUUAGACAGAGAAUAUGUUCUGUCAGCUGAGAAACUAAAUAUCUGAGCGGAUAAAAAGGAAUUCCUCAGGGGUCGAGUCUUGGGCCUCUGCUAUUCAAUCUCUACAUGGUACAUGUGUGUGGUGGUAGCCUAGUGGUUUGGCUUCAGAUUACAACACCAGAACGUUGUGAGUUCAACACCAGGGCAAAGGCACUUCACCCGAGUUGCUCCAGCGGGGACUGUCCCUGUAGUUAGUUCAUUGUAAGUCGCUCUGUAUAAAAUGACCUGUAAUGUAAAGUAAUGUAAAAAUAAAAGCCGGUAUACCUCUCCUACAUACAUUAAGCAACUUACAAAAGUAGAGUGUCACUUUAAGGAAGUAACAUUUUACUCAUCACAGGCAACAGAUUCUUCUUCUUUUUUAUUUUCAACAUGCAUCAGUUCAUUGUUAAUUAAUAGGAAAGGGACAGAAAAAAGAGGCCGAGAAGCAUGAGUGCUCAUUUCUGCUACUGCAGGUAGGAAUACAUCACUUUAUGGAUCCUCAGUGGUGCAGGAGACAUAGACUUGGUUACAUACAGGCAGAUUGUUGAAAAAAGGCCAAAGGCGAGUGUAACAGAGAAAUGUUCUCUGGUUAUCAAGCAGGUCACAGAGGAUGAUUAAAGUGUCACUGUCACCAUUUAAAAUCGGGAAAACAAGAUCAAGGUACUCAGGUUGAUCUGCCUGUUAUUAACAGUGACUAUUUCAAGCAGAGGUCAAAGUAUCAGGAAUUUAUCAGGUGUGAAGUGACAAAUGGUUGCAUGUGACAUGAAUGGGAGCCAAAUCUGAAUGGCUUGUUUAUUCCCAUGUUUUCUGACCAAGGCAGCCCACAACAAACUGACAGGAUUGUCUUAUUUCACAGUUUGUGAGUUGGUAGGU
rnacentral:lncRNA from 1 species